rnacentral:lncRNA from 1 species
CUGCUGGAGGGCUUCUGAGUAUAUUUAACAUCAUUAAAGGACAAUUGUUUUACUCUAGCAGAAAUACAACAGAAAAUUAAAACAUAGAUUAAUCAUAACCACUAUACUGGUGCAAGGUGAUGCCAGUGCUUUCAAUAUGCUUUUCAGAAAUUCAAGAUUUGAAAUCAUAUAUUCACUAUAAUUGAAAUGCUACUAAUGGGUGAAGGAUUGCAGUCUUCAACCACUCCCUUUGUCUUCCCAGGCAACAUUCACAAGAAUUGUAUUAUGCUGUGUUACUACUUCCAUCUCUCUCCUAGGGGAUUGAAACAAGAAGAGGUGGAUUCAGGGAGAGUCUGGGAUCGGCAUAGUGGGAUGGUCUUCCUCGCUGAGGGAGUCUUCAUGGUCAUUGGCUGGGAACGGAUCAUUCCAAUUCUUAUUAUUUGAAUCCUUUAAUCCUUAAGUUUUGCAAAAUUUUCUUGACUGGCUGUCAGCAUUAGAUAUACUUUGAUUUUAUGCAGUCAAUCAAUCUAAUCAAUUUUCCUCGUAUCUCUUUUAGAAGAUUUCUAUAGAUUAUGAGUCAUCACUCCAUAUCCCUAAAGGCAAUCACCCACUUCUAUGAUGGAGAGUUAUGUGGAAAGUUUCUCAUGAUCUGUUAAAUGUCUGAGUUAAAUGAUUGUUAGGGCUUACUAGAAUUACUGGCCCAUCACUGACAAAAACAUUGGAUAGUCUUACUCACAAUAUAUAGUAUUGAUUUCAGCAUUUCUGUGAGUUUAUCGUUAACUAUCACAGUAGAGUAUCAUUGUUAUAGUUGGCAGAUAAAAUAACAGUUUCAGACAUCUCUCCUCUAGUUGAAGAGUUGGCCAGAGGAUUACUUCUCAUCCCUGACAAUGUCCAUUUAGCUAUGAACCAAUGAUUAAAAAAAUACAAUAUUAGCUAUUAUGCAUGUAUUAGCUUGUUAAAUGGCAAAAAAUUUGCAUCAGUAUCAUAUAAAUAUCAUAGAUCUAUAAUUAUUGCAAAGUAACAGCAUGACUAUGUUGUAUAUUAAGUAUUCCUAUCUUUGAUCUGCACUAUCAUCACUUGAUGGUACCUAUUAGUGAUGAGCAAAAUGAUUCUUUUUAGGGAAUCAAUUCAUUUGAUUCAACUCAUUUGAAUGAAUCAAUCAUAUAAUUUGAUUUUUGAUUCAUUUCAAAUCAAUGAAUUGUUUGAACUGAAAAAUAGUUCUGAAUCAAAGAAUUGUGCAGACUUAGUGAUUUGUAUUUCAUGCUGACUCAAAUCAUUUGAAUUAUCAAAAUAUUUGAG